UACGUAGGGGGCAAGCGUUGUCCGGAAUUACUGGGCGUAAAGAGCUCGUAGGCGGUUUGUCGCGUCGUCCGUGAAAACUUGGGGCUCAACCCCAAGCUUGCGGGCGAUACGGGCAGACUUGAGUACUGCAGGGGAGACUGGAAUUCCUGGUGUAGCGGUGAAAUGCGCAGAUAUCAGGAGGAACACCGGUGGCGAAGGCGGGUCUCUGGGCAGUAACUGACGCUGAGGAGCGAAAGCGUGGGUAGCAAACAGG
rnacentral:rRNA from 1 species